AGACUCAGAGCUCCGCAGCGUACAGAGUGAGCAACAAAAUCUAGUUCCAGGUCCUCGCCCCGAAAGCGCGCGGCAGGUGCAGCAGUGCGCCCUAGAAAAAGAUCCACGCCCUGAUCCGCGCCCCCCAAUAAGCGGCCUUAAACUUGGGCUCCGUCCCCACCGACGCACGAGAACCUAGCCGCUAAGUGUAAAGCAGCGACAGCCUGGAGGUCUCGGCGAUGGGACUGAGGACCUCGGUGACAGGGGCCGUGAUCCGCUUGUGUCAGCAGGGCCGCCCGGGCCAGGGAAGGGGCUCCGUUUGAUCGUACAGUGGCUCAUUGAACGCGUCCGUAGGUCGCUGGCUGCAGUAAUGACCCUCUCUAAGAGAUCUGCACAGCCUUCUCGGGCCCCCAGAACCACCUAGCCGCCGAGCUCCACCGAUGAUGUCAUGCACGCGCCCCCUGACCUGGAAGGCGCUGUAAGGGAGGCAAAAGCUGGGAAAAAAACAGACCUGAGACUCCCUUCCCCUUCCACCACAGCUCCCGAUCCCUUUCCUUAAUCCAAUAAUUAAUUAUGUACUUAUU